rnacentral:rRNA from 1 species
AUUGAACGCUGGCGGCAGGCCUAACACAUGCAAGUCGAACGAGGGGCGGACGGGUGAGUAAUGUCGGGGAAACUGCCUGAUGGAGGGGGAUAACCACUGGAAACGGUAGCUAAUAACGCAUACCAGCGGAUGUGCCCAGAUGGGAUUAGCUAGUAGGUGGGGUAAAGGCUCACCUAGGCGACGAUCCCUAGUUGGUCUGAGAGGAUGACCAGCCGCACUGGAACUGAUACACGGCCCAGACUCCUACGGGAGGCAGCAGUGGGGAAUAUUGCACAAUGGGCGCAAGCCUGAUGCAGCCAUGCCGCGUGUAUGAAGAAGGCCUUCGGGUUGUAAAGUACUUUCAGCGGGGAGGCGUUACCCGCAGAAGAAGCACCGGCUAACUCCGUGCCAGCAGCCGCGGUAAUAC